rnacentral:rRNA from 1 species
UACGGAGGGUGCGAGCGUUGUUCGGAAUUAUUGGGCGUAAAGGGCGUGCAGGCGGCUUGUCAGGUCUGAUGUGAAAGCCCCGGGCUCAACCCGGGAAGUGCAUUGGAAACCGGCAGGCUUGAAUACGGGAGAGGGCAGUGGAAUUCCUGGUGUAGGGGUGAAAUCCGCAGAUAUCAGGAGGAACACCGGUGGCGAAGGCGGCUGCCUGGACCGAUAUUGACGCUGAGACGCGAAAGCGUGGGGAGCAAACAGG